UCAGCCAUCACUCAUUAUUGUGAGUCUCUAAGUAGUCCAGAGUGACUCAUUUAAAAAAUGUCUCAGGUGAGGUCUCUCUGCAUUCACCCUGGCUGACCUGAAAUAGCCUAAACUUGAAUCUCACAUGGAGGAGGACCAAUAACAUAUCACCCACUCAUUCCCUGCCCUGAGGAAGUCCCACAGAAAUCAGGAGUCCUUCAGGAGAGCACCUAGACCAUUCCAAAGCUAGGUUUUAAAUCCCUUGUGCUUAGAUUUAUAUCAGUCAGCUUAAGUUGAACUAUGCUGUAGUAACAAAUAAUUCAAAAACCUUGGUGGCUUACAAGUUUAUUUUUCCCUCAUAGUAUGUGCUUAUUGAGGGUCAAUUUUGGCUAUACUCCAUGUUGUCUUCAUUUCCAGGACCCAGGCUAAAAGAACAGCCCCUAUGUGGGGCAUGUUGGUCUUAUGGGAGAGGGAAAAGAAAUGUGAGGACCACAUGAUGGCUCUUAAAACUUCUGCCGGGAUGUGACACUUUUCACUUCCACUUCAUUCCAUUAUCCAAAGCUAGUCCUGUGACAAGCAUGAGUCAUUGCCCAUAGAUGAUUUAUCCUGUCGAAGGAGGGAUAGUGAAUAUUUUGAAGAAAUAGUAUGAUAUACCACAUGGGUACAUAAUAUCCAUGUCUCCCUUCAAAAAGUCAGCCUGUUAUAGGGCAUAACUGUUAGCCUAUUCAUGUGCAAAUUUGGUUAUGUUCCUGGUGACAAGACUGGAAAAUGGUGCAACUCUUUAGUCAAAAGGCUCAUAAGGACCA